rnacentral:rRNA from 1 species
UACGUAGGUGACAAGCGUUGUCCCGGAUUUACUGGGCGUAAAGAGCGCGCAGGCGGUCGAUCAAGUCGAGUGUGAAAGCCCCCGGCUCAACUGGGGAGGGUCAUUCGAUACUGAUCGACUCGAAGGCAGGAGAGGGUAGUGGAAUUCCCGGUGUAGCGGUGAAAUGCGUAGAGAUCGGGAGGAACACCAGAGGCGAAGGCGGCGACCUGGACAGGUACUGACACUCAACUACGAAAGCGUGGGGAGCAAACAGG